GGGUCAGUAGGUUGGUCGUGCCACCGGUACGUACUGGUCUCACUGAUUCCUCCCUCCUGAAGAACCGUAAUGCCAUUAAUUUGGUGUUGCGGGGAAACAGGACUGUUACUUUGAAAAAAUUAGAGUGUUUAAAGCAAGCUAACGCUCGAAUACAUUAGCAUGGAAUAAUGAAAUAGGACGAUCGAUCCUAUUUUGUUGGUUUCUAGGAUUGACGUA
rnacentral:rRNA from 1 species